GUACACUCACUUUGCAUGCCAGAGCUUUCAAGUCCAGUGACUCUGAGUCGCGGAAAAAUUUUCCUUCCAAGUCAUGUCCAUUGAGGUAUGGCUCUGCCAAGGUCAAAGAAGAUGCCCUGAACCUAUUUCAAGUGGGGUUACGUGAAUACCUUGGCUCACACAGAAUCAA